rnacentral:rRNA from 1 species
UACAGAGGUCUCAAGCGUUGUUCGGAUUCAUUGGGCGUAAAGGGUGCGUAGGCGGCGCGGUAAGUCGGGUGUGAAAUCUCGGAGUUUAACUCCGAAACUGCAUUCGAUACUGCCGUGCUUGAGGACUGGAGAGGAGACUGGAAUUUACGGUGUAGCGGUGAAAUGCGUAGAUAUCGUAAGGAAGACCAGUGGCGAAGGCGGGUCUCUGGACAGUUCCUGACGCUGAGGCACGAAGGUCAGGGGAGCAAACGGG